ACUUAAAGCAAAACAAAGAUUACAUGAAUUAGACAUUGAAAUAUAUAAGAUAGAAAACACCUAAAAUCGUUCAACAACUCAGAAUGAAUAGCCAAACAAUCGUAGUGAAUCUGUCCCCUUCUUUGCUUGCGGCAGAAUGGGUUGUGAAGAUGUUUUGGGUAGUUUUAUGGUGUAGAAUGGAUGGGGAAUGGUAUGGAGAGGUUUAAGGUGAGUAUGGAGGAGUGUUUGAUGGUUGAAGGAUGGUAGAGAACUCGGCAAAGAGGGUGGAAUUUUCUGGGCACUAGAAUGGUGUUUUUGGGGUGUUUUGCUGCCUUGGGUGAGUAUGGACGAAUUUUCUGCAUGAAUGAUGAAUAUGGGAGGUUGAACCCUUUGCCAAGGGUUGUAAACAUGUAUAUAUAGGCCCCAAAAACCCUAGAGAAUCAGAUUAGGCAGUGGGGGAAAUGCACAGCAAUGAGGGUGAAUUUGUGGUGUGCAAUGGUCCAAGGAUGAAAAUGGAGCAAUG
rnacentral:lncRNA from 1 species